UCAGACAUGGUGUAGUGGGAACACGGCCUCUAAUUGCGAAUAGAAAUGCUUCAAUGCUUUGGAGGCAAUCCAGGGUUCGAAUCUUCGUGUCUGAA